UACGGAGGAUGCAAGCGUUAUCCGGAAUGAUUGGGCGUAAAGCGUCUGCAGGUGGCAAUGUAAGUCUGCUGUUAAAGAGUCUAGCUCAACUAGAUAAAAGCAGUGGAAACUACAUAGCUAGAGUACGUUCGGGGCAGAGGGAAUUCCUGGUGUAGCGGUGAAAUGCGUAGAGAUCAGGAAGAACACCAGUGGCGAAGGCGCUCUGCUAGGCCGUAACUGACACUGAGGGACGAAAGCUAGGGGAGCGAAUGGG
rnacentral:rRNA from 1 species